rnacentral:rRNA from 1 species
AGUCGAACGAAGUAGCAAUACUUAGUGGCAGACGGGUGAGUAACAUGCAGGUAUCUGCCCUUUGGCCUGGAAUAACACGAGGAAACUUGUGCUAAUACCGGAUAAGUCUUUACAGAGAAAGCUUUAUGCACCAUUGGAUGAGCCUGCACUUGAUUAGUUUGUUGGUAGGGUAAUGGCCUACCAAGACUGUGAUCAAUAGCUGAUUUGAGAGGAUGAUCAGCCACAUUGGGACUGAGACACGGCCCAAACUCCUACGGGAGGCAGCAGUGGGGAAUCUUGCACAAUGGAGGAAACUCUGAUGCAGCGAUGCCGCGUGAGUGAAGAAGGCCUUUGGGUUGUAAAGCUCUUUCGUCGGGGAAGAAAAUGACUGUACCCGAAUAAGAAGGUCCGGCUAACUUCGUGCCAGCAGCCGCGGUAAUACGAAGGGACCUAGCGUAGUUCGGAAUUACUGGGCUUAAAGAGUUCGUAGGUGGUUGAAAAAGUUGGUGGUGAAAUCCCAGAGCUUAACUCUGGAACUGCCAUCAAAACCUUUCAGCUAGAGUAUGAUAGAGGAAAGCAGAAUUUCUAGUGUAGAGGUGAAAUUCGUAGAUAUUAGAAAGAAUACCAAUUGCGAAGGCAGCUUUCUGGAUCAUUACUGACACUGAGGAACGAAAGCAUGGGUAGCGAAGAGGACUAGAUACCCUCGUAGUCCAUGCCGUAAACGAUGUGUGUUAGACGUUGGAAAUUUAUUUUCAGUGUCGCAGCGAAAGCGAUAAACACACCGCCUGGGGAGUACGACCGCAAGGUUAAAACUCAAAUGAAUUGACGGGGACCCGCACAAGUAGUGAGCAUGUGGUUUAAUUCGAAGAUACGCGCAGAACCUUACCAACACUUGACAUGUUCGUCGCGACUCUAAGAGAUAGAGUUUUCGGUUCGGCCGGACGAAACACAGUGCUGCAUGGCUGUCGUCAGCUCGUG